CUCAUGAUUAGAGUCUCCAUUCUCAAGAGGCUCCUCCUCUUCAAUCUGCAUGUUUCUGAAAGCUUCGACAAGGGUAACAUGUGAUUUGUCAGCAUGGUUGAUAUACUGCUCUGCUGGAGGGUAAACAUUCCUAAAACAGAAAUAUCAAAAUUAAAGUAAGUAAACAUUAUUAGAACACCAACACAAAAACAGUCAAAGCUGCAAGAUACAUGCAAGAAAAUAAGUGUUCUCCACACUGACCUUGUUUCUGCAGCUUUAGAUUCAACAGCAAGUGCAACUUGCCAAUCUUCAAACAAAUUUGGAUAUUCC
rnacentral:lncRNA from 1 species